UGGGGAAUCUUGCACAAUGGGCGCAAGCCUGAUGCAGCAACGCCGCGUGCGGGAAGACGGCCCUAGGGUUGUAAACCGCUUUCAGGAGGGAAGAAAUGACGGUACCUCCAGAAGAAGGUGCGGCCAACUACGUGCCAGCAGCCGCGUGACACGUAGGCACCAAGCGUUAUCCGGAUUUAUUGGGCGUAAAGAGCUCGUAGGCGGUUCGGUAAGUCGGGUGUGAAAAUCCAAGGCUCAACCUUGGGACGCCACCCGAUACUGCUGUGACUCGAGUGCAGUAGGGGAGCAGGGAAUUCCUGGUGUAGCGGUGAAAUGCGCAGAUAUCAGGAGGAACACCAGUGGCGAAGGCGCUGCUCUGGGCUGUAACUGACGCUGAGGAGCGAAAGCAUGGGUAGCAAAACAGGAUUAGAUACCCUGGUAGUCCAUGCCGUAAACGUUGGGCACUAGGUGUGGGUCUCAACCAACGAGAUCCGCGCCGUCGCUAACGCAUUAAGUGCCCCGCCUGGGGAGUACGGUCGCAAGAUUAAAACUCAAAGGAAUUGA
rnacentral:rRNA from 1 species